rnacentral:rRNA from 1 species
UACAGAGGUCUCAAGCGUUGUUCGGAUUCAUUGGGCGUAAAGGGUUCGUAGGCGGCGCGGUAAGUCGGGUGUGAAAUCUCGGAGCUUAACUCCGAAACUGCAUUCGAUACUGCCGUGCUUGAGGACUGGAGAGGAGACUGGAAUUUACGGUGUAGCGGUGAAAUGCGUAGAUAUCGUAAGGAAGACCAGUGGCGAAGGCGGGUCUCUGGACAGUUCCUGACGCUGAGGCACGAAGGCCAGGGGAGCAAACGGG